AAAUGUUUGAUUUUUCUUUUUUUCCCUCCCUCAUUCUGGCUAUAGACUGAAACAUUAGCUGCAUUCCCUGGGGCUGAUUGGAUGCAAUUCGCACAAAGUCGACAGCUACGUCCUGGAUGUUAAAAAUUCACUUUGGCUGAACCUGACAAGGCUGAGUUCGAUCUACAAUUGUAUUUGAAAGCGCAGCCAGCGUAAAAAUCUCCCAUCAU